GACGUAGGAUGCAAGCGUUGUCCGGAUUUAUUGGGCGUAAAGAGUUCGUAGGCGGUUCGUUAAGUCUGAUGUUAAAGACUGGGGCUCAACCCUGGGAGUGCAUUGGAUACUGGCGGACUGGAGUACAGUAGAGGCAAGCGGAAUUCCCAGUGUAGCGGUGAAAUGCGUUGAUAUCGGAAGGAACGCCGGUGGCGAAAGCGACGGACUGGAUCUCUUCUGACGCUGAGGCGCGAAAGCCAGGGGAGCAAACGGG
rnacentral:rRNA from 1 species